GGCAAGGUGCCCGAGUGGUUAAGGGGUUCGACUCGAACGACCGAUAUCGAAUACAUUCGUGUGCGCAGGUUCGAAUCCUGCCCUUGUCG